AGCCAACGAGGAAAGCAAGCAUCCUGUCUUACCUCUGUUCUACCCCAGAGCCAGUAAUGUUGAAUCCACUGGGGCUAACUGGGAGAGAGGAUGAAAGCUUGUUCUAUAAGGAGCUGUCUGAGGUAC
ensembl:snoRNA SNORD22 Small nucleolar RNA SNORD22